rnacentral:rRNA from 1 species
UACAGGGGGCGCAAACGUUGCUCGGAAUUAUUGAGCGUAAAGCGCACGUAGGCGGUUUGUUAUGUCGGAUGUGAAAGCCCUUGGCUCAACUGAGGAAGUGCAUCCGAAACUGGCAAGCUAGAGUAUGUAAGAGGGUCGCGGAAUUCCCGGUGUAGAGGUGAAAUUCGUAGAUAUCGGGAGGAACACCGGUGGCGAAGGCGGCGACCUGGGACAAUACUGACGCUGAGGUGCGAAAGCGUGGGGAGCAAACAGG